GAUUGUAUCCUGGUAGAUAGGAUUUGGUAUGCUAUUAUGAUAUGCUAGAUUGGUAUCCUGGUAGAUAAGAUGUUUUACGCUGUUAUGAUAUGUUAGAUCGGUAUCCUGAUAGAUAGGAUGUUUUAUGUUGCUAUGAUUUGUUAGAUCGGUAUCCUAUUAGAUAGGAUGUUGUAUGCUAUGAUGAUCAGUUAGAUCAAUAUCCUGGUAUAUAGGAUGAUGCUAUGUUAGUGGCCUGGUUAGGUCGGUAUCCUAGUUAUAAGAUGUUGCUAUGAUUGAUGAUCUGUUAGAUUGGUAUGACUGUUAUAUAUAUGCAAAUGUAUGAUAUUUAUGUACAUAUGUUUGUUUGAUUUGGGGUUGGGUUGAGGCGGUCCUGCUUUGUGCUAAAGGCCAACAUACCCAGGGUGGUUCGGUUAAACUGAAGGCCUUGCAAAGGGAUUCAGUUAGACCGAAGGCCCGACGAGCGAUCCGGAUAGGCUGUAGGCCCUGCGAGGCGGUCCAAACGUGCCGAAGGCUUGGAGAACAGUCCAGAUAGACUGAAGGUCUGUAAGGCGAUCCAGUCAAGUUGACAACUUGUGACAUCCCCAAAAUCACGGCCAGAAAAGACCGGUUUGUUUAUGCUUUGUUUAAAAAUCAGAGUUACAUUUUAAAUGAAAGUGUUGCGGAAUUUGUCCCAAAACAAAAUAUGAUAAAGAUUUAUCAAAAGCAUUUCCAUAGAAAUGUAUUUCAUUAAAAGACUUGGGAUGUCAUGUUCGUACAGAUCAAAAGCAUAAACAGUACAAUAUAAGCCUUACUACAUUAUUCCAUAUCUACAGGCCUAUAUCCGUAAUCCCUCGUCCAAAACAUCACAUCUAUGCUCAUGCGCCACUACCUGUAAUACAUAAAACUGAGUGGGUCAGGCUUGGGAGCCUGGUGAGCACAUAGGGUUUUCAACCCACAAUAAAUAAGUUUAUUAAUUUCAUCAAUCAACAAUAACCCGAUUACCCGUUCCCGUUAUCCUCACUUUACGUCCCUAAACACCUAUCAUAAGGGGCCUAGCCUAAGGAUCAGCAUCGGGACGGACACUACUGCUAAGGGGAUUCCUCAGCAAUAAAUGUCCUAAAGGCAACCAUGUGGGGGAUGGAGUACACCGGUGAACACAUCGUUCACAAACACCUACAGGUUGCGAGCCUGCUAGUGUUCCACUGGACUGUCUAGAAGAGUCCGUGGUCGUCAUCCAUACUCCGCUAGAUGACAGAAUCAACAACAUCAACAUCGAGGCCUCUCAUCAUUUUAUCACACAUCACCUAUUGCAUCUACCCAUGUUUUACCCCAACAUUUUCGUAGAUAUAAAAUACAUAUACAGUUUAAAUCAUUGAAAACAUGUAUAACAACGUUCAUCUAGCAUAGAUAGCAAGUAUUCAGAUAAUAUGCACACAUAGCACGUAAUUUAUAUAAAAUACUUCAUAUCUAUGUGUAAGUUGAAAGUAACUAUGCACUCACUUGUUAAGGUGAUGAUUCCAAAAUCGGGCAGCGCUUGCUUCUAACGAUUCUAUUUUCCUUCGACGAAACCUAGCAUUAUUAUCGCUAAAUUUUAGUCUAAUAUUUACCGUGACCAACUAUUAGUCUUAGUAUUAUUAUUAUUAUAUAAGCGUUAAACAAUAUUUUCCAACCACUAUGUACAGACAGGGGCCAGACAUAAAACACCGGAGGGCAGGACCAUUUUGGCAUAUAGCACUUCUGAAAUCCAACAACCCUAUGCGGCCCUUUAAACCAGAUUCCCCGUACCGCGAGUAGUUAAAAAAAAUAUUAUAACGACACUUAUAUAAGUUAUAAUAAUAGCUCAAAUAUUUAUUAUAAGUUCAUAAUAACAAUACUAAUUUUAAAUAUAAGCUAUAUUAAAAUAAGGUAAGCAUAACUUACUUACAAGGGGGUUUUAGCUAGGAGUCGGGCUCUGCAGGGGCAGAACUUCGUCGCUGAAUCUUUCUAAGAAAGAUUCGUGCAGCGCUUCAGCGCUCACCUUACUAUACUAAGCUACAGAAAGAGAAGUCGAAUCACGAGGGACCGAAAUGCUCGGGGGAUAAGGAGAGAAAGACUCUUGAAUCAAGAGAAUGGUGCAAGAAAUAUGAGAGCCCAAGGCUCUUAUUUAUACUAAUUGAAUUUUCAAAAACUACCCUCCAUAAUUACUUAAUGACCUUUUAGUUAUAUAAACAACUAAACACCCCUCUAUAAUACUAUUAUAAAUGGAUUUAAUGAUAUUUGUACUAAACUAAUGUCGAAAGAACUCAACAUUAGUCUUAUAAUGACCGCAUCGUCGAUACCUUUCUAAUGAUAUAUACAUAUGUAUAUAUAUGUGUACGUAUACAUGAUUUAUACUUUAUUUUAAUACGUAAAUAUGCUAUUAUAAUUUGUAACUCGUUCAUACGAACUCCGUUUUUGACGUUCUUUAUAUCCACGCGUAGGUGAAGACGUACUCUACAACUUUCGUUUAGACUCCGUCGGCUAAUUUUGACUUUAUUUUUAAAGUUAUAUUUUUAACAAGCCGGGACAGGAUUGGUCUGUUUAAAAUCUCAUAACUUCUUCAUACGAAGUCAGAUUUGGGCGUUCUUUUUAUCGAUGUUCUUAGUUUAACAUAUUCUACGACUUUCGUUUAGAUCACUAAGGCUAAAUCUCGCUCUAUCGUAAAUUCACUAUUCACGCUUCCCGGUAUCGUGCCGGUUCUGUCGUGAAACUUCGACGGGUCAUAACUUCUUCGUUAUAACUCGGAUUUCGGCGUUCCUUAUAUGCACGGAAACCUUGAGACAUAUUCUACAACUUUAUGUAGAGAUAUCGGGAUUAUCUCACACUUUAAUUUUGACGCUCAUUUUUAUUCUUUAUUAAUUAUACAUUUAUAAUUAAAUAAUAAACACAUAUAAUUCACAUAAUACUCAAAUAUUUCAUCUUUAUUACUUCAAAAAGAGUUACAAGAGUUGACCUAGACUAUUACAUUGACAAAAAUGCUUAGCCCUGAAACCCGGGCGUUACAAUUCUCUCCCCCUUAGGAUGAUUCCGUCCCGGAAUCAUGCAUCAGCAAACAGAUGUGGAUAGCGACUCAUCAUGUCAUCCUCUGUUUCCCAAGUGAGAUUCGGCCCAUUCGAAUGUUUCCAUCGGACUAGCACCAAGUCGACCAUCUUGCGUCGUAACUUCUUAGUCUUACGGUCAACAAUUGCCUCAGGCUCUUCGAUCAACCUUUUAUUUUCAUCCAUCCUUAACUCUGAGAUUGGAAUUAUGUCGGGAACAUCUCCCGUGAAUUUCCUCAAAUAACACACAUGGAAGGUGUUAUGAAUACCAUUGAGUUCUUCGGGCAAUUCCAGCUUGUAAGCUUGGUUCCCUAUCUUCUGAAGAACUUUGAACGGUCCAAUAAACCUUGGACUCAACUUUCCUCGUUUCCCAAAUCGUAUAAGUCCCUUCCACGGUGAGACUUUAAGCAAAACGGAAUCCCCAACUUCGAAAGUUAUCGGUCGUCUUUUCUUGUCAGCAUAGCUCUUCUGACGAUCCUGGGCUGCUAACAUCCUUUCCCUAAUCACCUUCAACUUCUCAGCAGUCUCAUGGACUAUCUCGGGGCCCAUAAACUGCUUCUCUCCGGCUUCAAGCCAACAAGACGGCGUACGACACUUCUGCCCAUACAAGGCUUGAUAAGGAGCCAUCUUGAUGCUCGAGUGAAAACUAUUGUUGUAGGAAAAUUCUACCAGAGGUAAGUGCUCGUCCCAAUUCCCUUGGAAUUCGAGGGUACAUGCUCUCAGCAUAUCUUCCAGCGUCUGAAUCGUUCUUUCGCUCUGACCAUCAGUUUGCGGAUGAUAAGCAGUACUCAAACACAACUUUGUACCUAACUCCUCUUGUAGACUCCUCCAAAACCUUGACGUGAAACGACUAUCACGAUCUGAUACAAUCGUAAGAGGGACACCGUGAAGUCUUACAAUUUCCUUCACGUAAGCAUUUGCGAGCUUAUCCAUAGACCACUUCUCGUUGGCUGCUAUGAAGUGUGCACUCUUGGUGAAACGAUCCACGACUACCCAAAUCAUGUCGUGACCGUUCUUCGUCCUGGGCAGUUUAGUCACAAAAUCCAUGGUGAUGUCUUCCCAUUUACCCAUGGGUACAGGUAAAGGUUCUAAACUCCCAUACGGUUUCUGAUGUUGUGCCUUAACCCUCGCACAUGUUACGCACUCGGCCACAUACUUCGCAACAUCGAGCUUCAUCGUCGGCCACCAGUAGUAGGGUUUUAGGUCCCUAUACAUUUUAGUGCUACCGGGAUGAAUCGAGUACAUGGUCUUGUGUGCUUCUUCCAUCAGAAGAUCUCUUAUUCCUCCCGUCUUAGGUACCCAAAUUCGAUCUUGGAAUACCUUCAGUCCUCGACUGUUUGUACCAAACACUAACGUUCUUCCCAAACGUUCUUCCUUUCGGUCAUUUUUCUCUAAAGCUUCUUCUUGAGCUUUCCUGAUACUUUCCACAAUCGUCGAGACGACUUCAAUUCUUAACGCUCUUGGCCUUUUCCUUUCCAGAUUGACUUUCCGACUGAGAGCAUCAGCAACAAUAUUUGCUUUACCUGGGUGGUAAAGUAUCUCACAGUCGUAGUCCUUGAGAAGUUCUAGCCAGCGUCGUUGCCUCAUGUUCAACUCCUUCUGAUUAAAGAGAUACUGGAGACUCUUAUGAUCAGUGAAGAGCUUGCACUUCGUGCCGUAGAGGUAAUGCCUCCAUAUCUUUAAGGCAAAAACUACCGCUGCCAACUCCAGAUCAUGAGUGGGGUAGUUCUUUUCGUGCUCUUUCAAUUGUCGAGAUGCGUAUGCUAUCACCUUUUCUCUUUGGGUCAGAACACAACCCAACCCGACUCCAGAAGCGUCACUAUAAACCGCGAAAUCUUCGACUCCAUCGGGUAGAGAAAGUAUCGGUGCUUCACAUAACUUCUUCUUUAGCUUCUCGAAUGCCUCAUCGUGUUUCUCACUCCACGUAUACGUAGCUCCUUUAUGAGUCAAAGCUGUUAAUGGAGCAGCUAUCGAAGAAAAGCCUUGGAUAAAUCGUCGAUAAUAUCCGGCUAAUCCUAGAAAGCUUCGAAUCUCCGUGGGACUCUUUGGACGUUCCCACUUCAUUACAGCCUCGAUCUUUGCGGGGUCAACCAUUAUUCCCUCCUGGUUAACAACAUGACCCAAGAAUUGGACUUCCCGUAUCCAAAAGUCGCAUUUGGAGAACUUUGCAAAAAGCUUCUCCUUCUUCAACACUUCUAAUACUUCCCGUAGAUGCUUGCCAUGCUCCUCUUGGCUUUUCGAGUAGAUGAGAAUGUCGUCGAUGAACACUAUCACGGAUUUAUCGAGGAAUGGUUUACAAACCCUAUUCAUCAAAUCCAUGAAUGCUGCGGGAGCAUUGGUUAGCCCGAAUGACAUAACCAAGAACUCGUAGUGUCCAUAUCUCGUUCUGAAUGCAGUCUUCUCAAUAUCCUGCUUUCUCACCUUUAGCUGAUGAUAUCCUGACCUAAGAUCGAUCUUUGAGAAGUAGCUCGAACCUUGCAGCUGAUCGAAUAGGUCAUCAAUCCUCGGCAAUGGAUACUUGUUCUUCACCGUUGCCUUAUUCAGCUCUCGGUAGUCUAUACACAUUCUCAUACUUCCGUCCUUCUUCUUCACGAAUAACACCGGAGCUCCCCAGGGUGAUGAACUAGGUCGAAUAAAACCGUUGUCCAACAGCUCCUGAAGUUGCGUCAUGAGCUCCUUCAUCUCCGUCGGUGCUAAUCGGUAAGGUGCCUUUGCUAUCGGUGUUGUUCCUGGUAACAAGUCUAUACGAAACUCCACUUGCCUAUCAGGUGGUAAUCCGGGAAGAUCUUCGGGAAAGACUUCCGGAUAAUCACACACAACCGGUAUAUUCUGCACCUCUUUCUUCUCCUUCUUGGCAUCGAUUACGAAUGCCAAGUAUGAUGCACAUCCUUUGGACAAACAUUUCCUGGCUUUCAUCAGGGAGAUGAUUCCAGAAUUCACUCUGCGUUUGUCCCCAUACACCAUAAAUGAUUCUUUUCCGGGUGGGUUUACCUUUACUAUCUUCUUUCGGCAUUGAAUCUCAGCAUCGUUGGCGCUAAGCCAAUCCAUACCCAAAACGAUGUCGAAACCGUUUAACUCUAUGGGUAAUAGCUCUUCGUGGAAUUCGUUUCCGUUUAGGUCAAUGACGAUGUUCCUAAUACGAUUACUAACAGGUACGAAUUUGCCACUGGCAACUUCUACAAUCAGGGCAUUAUCUAGUUUUUCUACAGGCAAUGCUAAUUUCCCACCAAAUUUAUGCGACACAAAGGAGUAGUUGGCUCCGGAAUCAAAUAGUAUAUUUGCAGGCAAACCAUUUACAAGAAAGGUACCUGAAGCGACGUCUGCUGCCUCCUUUGCAGCCUCGAGCGUCAUCUGGAAGGCUCUCGCCUUCGGCUUCGGUGGUAUGUUGGGUCUUCCUGUCUCCUUCUUCUUCGGGCAGUCCUUCAAAAUGUGCCCUUCUUCAUUGCACCCAUAACAGGCUUUCUGGUUGAGGGUGCAUUCAUUGGCGUAGUGCCCAGGCUUUCCGCACUUGUAACAAGUGACCCCUCCGUCACACUUCCCAGAGUGCUUCUUCUUGCACUUGUCACACCACUUCGCUUCUGAUCCUCCUCCCCUCGAACCAGACUUCGAGAAUCUACUCUUCUUGUUGGACUUCGAGGAUCCAUUGAACUUCCGUUUCUCACCAACCUCAGCCCUCUCCAGACCUCUUUCCUUUUGUUGGGUCUCCACGUUCUUAGCUGCUCGAACAGCUGAUUUCAGAGUGGUUGCCAUCUUGACUGUUGGGCCAAAGUCAGCCGGCAGUCCGUUUGCGAAUUUCUCAAUUUUGGAAAGUUCGGUUGGCACUAGGUAUGGAAACAACUUCAUCUUUUCCGUAAAUGCAGCAGCAUAGUCAUCGAUGCUCAUUCUCCCCUUCUUCAAAUUUUGGAACUCAUUGUUCAGAUCAAUCAGGUCUAUCUCUGAACAGUACUGCGCCUUCAGUUGUUCCAAGAACUCAUCCCAUGACAUUUUCAGAGCUUCUCCCCGUGGCAUUGUAUCUGCCAAUAGCUUCCACCAGCUCAAGACUCCAGUUUUCAAUUGUCUCACAGCGAAGACAGUCUUCUGCUUCUCGCUGCAGUCGCAGCUCUCAAACACCAUCUCCAUCUCGGAGAUCCAGUCCAUAAUCUCAACAGGCUUUGGGCUUCCUGAGAGACUUGGUGGUUUCGCACCCAAGAAAUUUUUGUACAUCCGCCCAUCCUUGUUGUUUCUCCCUUCUGGGCCAUCCUUUUGCUCACCUUGAGUCCCUACUUGACUCACUUGGCGGCUAUAGUUCCCUUCCUCAGAUGGCUCGGGAACUGGCUCCGUCGGUUCAACAUGUAUGGUAGGUUCGUCCCUAUUUUCGUGGAGCAUCCGUCUCAUUUCUUCCCUUUGUUCAGCUAGCAUAGCCUGAAUCAUGGCUUGAACUCCAGCCAUGGUGACUGGCUCAGGUGCAACUUCUUCAACAACAGGUAUUUGCUGAACCACUGGGGGUUGGUUCCUAUCUCCAUUUGCGUUCACGUUUCCGCUACGGGUCCUUGCCAUCUUGAUCUAUACACCGAAUAAGGUGAAUUUAGAUCUUUAUUUAGGAUAGACGUUUAAAUCGUCCUUAUCACUCCGAAACGUUUACAUGCUAGUUCUAAUAUCGUAGUCGUACGUUUAGAAUCCUAAACACAUAAGGUUUCCAGAUCCGGUCGGCAACAGACCAUAGAUCCGAACAAUUAACAGCAUAUUAUGCACAAAGCAUUUAGCACAUAAAAGCAUUUUAGGCACAAUUCCUAAAAUAAGCUAGUGCUCACACCUCACAAUCAUCGCUUAGCAUUCUAAGUUUAAGUCUAGAAAUCCUACAAAUUCCUAGUUCGCUUAAACUAAUGCUCUGAUACCAACUGUGACAUCCCCAAAAUCACGGCCAGAAAAGACCGGUUUGUUUAUGCUUUGUUUAAAAAUCAGAGUUACAUUUUAAAUGAAAGUGUUGCGGAAUUUGUCCCAAAACAAAAAUAUGAUAAAGAUUUAUCAAAAGCAUUUCCAUAGAAAUGUAUUUCAUUAAAAGACUUGGGAUGUCAUGUUCGUACAGAUCAAAAGCAUAAACAGUACAAUAUAAGCCUUACUACAUUAUUUCAUAUCUACAGGCCUAUAUCCGUAAUCCCUCGUCCAAAACAUCACAUCUAUGCUCAUGCGCCACUACCUGUAAUACAUAAAACUGAGUGGGUCAGGCUUGGGAGCCUGGUGAGCACAUAGGGUUUUCAACCCACAAUAAAUAAGUUUAUUAAUUUCAUCAAUCAACAAUAACCCGAUUACCCGUUCCCGUUAUCCUCACUUUACGUCCCUAAACACCUAUCAUAAGGGACCUAGCCUAAGGAUCAUCAUCGGGACGGACACUACUGCUAAGGGGAUUCCUCAGCAAUAAAUGUCCUAAAG
rnacentral:lncRNA from 1 species